UGGGGAAUAUUGCACAAUGGGCGCAAGCCUGAUGCAGCCAUGCCGCGUGUGUGAAGAAGGCCUUCGGGUUGUAAAGCACUUUCAGCGGGGAGGAAGGCGAUAAGGUUAAUAACCUUGUCGAUUGACGUUACCCGCAGAAGGAGCACCGGCUAACUCCGUGCCAGCAGCCGCGGUAAUACGGAGGGUGCAAGCGUUAAUCAGAAUUACUGGGCGUAAAGCGCCCGCAGGCGGUCUGUCAAGUCGGAUGUGAAAUCCCCGGGCUCAACCUGGGAACUGCAUUCGAAACUGGCAGGCUAGAGUCUUGUAGAGGGGGGUAGAAUUCCAGGUGUAGCGGUGAAAUGCGUAGAGAUCUGGAGGAAUACCGGUGGCGAAGGCGGCCCCCUGGACAAAGACUGACGCUCAGGUGCGAAAGCGUGGGGAGCAAACAGG
rnacentral:rRNA from 1 species